GCGACGCGAGUGGUCCACCGCCCACAACGUCGCGAGAAGUCCACUGAACCUUAUCAUUUAGAGGAAGGAGAAGUCGCAACAAGGUUUUCGUAGGUGAACCUGCGGAAGGAUCAUUG
rnacentral:rRNA from 1 species